CGAGCGGAGAGAUUCUUCGGAAUCUUGACAGCGGCGUACGGGUGCGGAACACGUGUGCAACUUACCUUUAUCAGGGGGAUAGCCUUUCGAAAGGAAGAUUAAUACCCCAUAAUAUAUUAGAUGGCAUCAUUUGAUAUUGAAAACUCCGGAGAAUAGAGAUGGGGACGCGCAAGAUUAGAUAGUUGGUGAGGUAACGGCUCACCAAGUCAGUGAUCUUUAGGGGGCCUGAGAGGGUGAUCCCCCACACUGGUACUGAGACACGGACCAGACUCCUACGGGAGGCAGCAGUGAGGAAUAUUGGACAAUGGGUGAGAGCCUGAUCCAGCCAUCCCGCGUGAAGGAUGACGGCCCUAUGGGUUGUAAACUUCUUUUGUAUAGGGAUAAACCUUUCCACGUGUGGAAAGCUGAAGGUACUAUACGAAUAAGCACCGGCUAACUCCGUGCCAGCACCCGCGAAAAUACGGAGGGUGCAAGCGUUAUCCGGAUUUAUUGGAUUUAAAGGGUCCGUAGGCGGACUCGUAAGUCAGUGGUGAAAUCUCAUAGCUUAGCUAUGAAACUGCCAUUGAUACUGCGGGACUUGAGUAAAGUAUAGGUAACUGGAAUACAUAAUGGAGCGGUGAAAUGCAUAGAUAUUACUUAGAACGCCAAUUGCGAAGGCAGGAUACCAUGUCUUAACUGACGCUGAUGGACUAAAGCGUGCGGAGCGAACAGGAUUAGAUACCCUGAUAGUCCACGCCGUACACUGAUGCUAACUCGUUUUUGGCGUUUUCGGAUUCAGAGACUAAGCGAAAGAGAUAAGUUAGGCACCUGGUGAGUACGUUCGCCAUCAUGAAACUCAAAGGAAUUGACGGAGUGACCGCACCAGCGAUGGACUAUGUGGCUUUAUUCGAUGAUACGCGAGG
rnacentral:rRNA from 1 species